GGUGACCAAACUUAUCCAGGGCGAAUUGACAGCCUAUUUCACCACAAACGAUACGCCGGACUUAGCACAAUCCACGAUCUGGGCUGACCACAAGAUGGUCAUCCGGGGUACCCUUAUCAAACUAGCAACCCGACGGAAAAAACAAAGAGCAGAGGCCCUCUUCGAGCUCCAGAAGGCGCUGAGGAGGGCGGAGGCCAAACACAAACAAACCCCCACGCCACAGGGACUCCAGGAACUUCGCGACCUCCGCCACAAGAUACGGUCCUUAGCAGUGGAGGACUUGGGGCGGGACCUGGUCCGUAAAAAGCAGCUUUACUAUGAACGCU